AGGAAACCAGAUAGUAUGGAAAAUCCUUCUUUAAUGUGGACAAAUAAAGCAGCCAGACAGAAACAGGAAAGCAAAACAUAAUUAAGGUGGUCCACAAAUUAUGUUUCUGUUGACAUAAACAACUUGAGGUCAAGACUCAAAUUUACUGAUUGUUUUCUAUAAAUAAUUUUCCUUAUGUUUCUUCCUCCUUUUUCAUCCUGUGACCACACAAAUCUCACCCUAAACACAUUCUCCUAUAAAAUUCUGCCCCCUCCAAUGAAAAACAAAUCUAUUUAUGUAACGAAUCCUGUAAUUCAAUUUGCUGUCCUUAAAGAUUCUUUGAAGAAAGGAAAAGUUUGCUUUACAUUCCCACUUGCUCUCUGAGAAAAACAGAAGUGUCUUAAAUAAAUUAAUUCACUUUCACCAUAUAUGUUCAGGGCUUUGUGUUCAUGUGCAAAGCUAACCUCCACAAUAACACUUAUUUUGCAGUAAUAGAAGGACAACAUGGAAUAUGAAGUUUUUUCAGUGACAUCUUUUAGGGAAAGUGUAGUAGUACUGAAUUUGGUAAAAAACUUCCUCCAAAUAUUCUUGGGCACUCCCAUCAUUAAACUUUUUUUUGUUUAUUAAUUAAUUAAGCAAUAGUCUUAAUUGUUAAUUAAGCAAUAGUCAACUGCUAGAUAGAAAAUUUCUCAUGUGCAAAAAUAACCACCUAGACAAUUUUCUGAUAAAUAGUCAAAAUGCCCUUUGAGAUGCCUUGUUGAUCCUACUAUUUUCAUUUAAAGAUAGAGGGGUAAUGAGCCUGACUAAAAAACACUCAGAAUCUUCAAUCCCCAAUUUCUUAAAGAAGUAAUUCUCUCAGCAGCCUCUGAAAAAUAAACUAAAUAGAACUGACACAAUCAAGAAAGAAGAGGACAUAUAUUUCAACACGUAAUGUGUAUGUAACAUUUAUGUAUCUGUCUGUCACUAAGAAAACUAAAAAAGUAAAAAUAUCCACAAAAUAAAUAAACCUCAGCCAUAGAUUUACAUUAAACCCUUCUGUUUUUCCACUGACAAUUAUUUAUGUAUACAUUAAUUCACUGUCUUAAUAGGUUCAGGUGUUUGUUUGUAUUCAUGCAUAAAACUACGUUAAUUGAGGUUUGAAAUCACUAUAUUUGAUAAUGUGGAUCUUUGAAGUUUCUGUGAUACAUAUUAUCAUAAGCUUUAAUUUUCUAAGGCUAAAAUCUUUACAGCAUGACCUCAGAGAGAUCUUGCAACACAUCUUAAUGACAGCAAGGGUAAAGGUAGUAUCUUUCAGAAAUGGGGGAAAAAAAGGAAAAAGUAGGAUAGCCCUAAUUGUUCAGAUCUCUUUGAAGAUAGAUAAUGGCUAAGCCCAUUAAUUGCUUUUAAAAUAAAGCAAAUUUGUGGAGAGAGAAAAAGUGUGACACAUCAUGUAAACAGAUACUCUCACUUUUUGACACUGGUGUUAUAACCCCAAAUACAUGGAUACUCUUUGGAUUGGAAUAAAGGGCACAGCAUUACACAAAAAUCUAAAUCCCUCAUAAGAUAGUAAUUUACUAGGGAUUAAUUAAAUUCUAAGAAACAUAAAACCCUGCUUAUUUAUAGACUAGAUCUGAACUAAAAUGAGGUUUUGGGGUUUUUCUUGUUUUAUUGGUUGGUUUGGUUUUAAGAAAGAAAGAGAGAGAGAGAAAGAAGAAAGAAAGAAAGAGAAAGAAAGAAAGAAAAAGAAAUAAAGAAUGAAAGAAACAAAGAAAGAUCCAACCAAAUGUGUUAGGAACUAAUCUAAAACUGUUUUUCUUGAAAAACAACCAUUUCCUUUGAAUAAUGAUAAAUAUCAAUAAUUUUCUUUCCCUUUUAAUGAAAAAUUAGCACAUUCAGAAUUUUCUUUAAAUUUCCAUGCAGUACCCAUAAACAUGUAUAUAUUUAUAUUGUACUUUCUUGGGGAGGUACUUACUCCACCACCAUGCUUCCACAUCUCAUUCUUUUAUUUCUUUUAUUUUUCUUGUCUCUAUUUUAAAUUUUCUUCUUUUUUUUUUAACUUGUUUAUUUAUCCAUCUCCCUCCCCCAGGAAUGUACAGACUACAAAUGUAGGACUACAUCCAGCAUCUUAAAUUCUGUAUCCCCAAAGGCCUAUUAUGUGCAUGGCACAGUAGUAAUGCAGUGAAUGAUUUAAAUCUCCUUUUACCGUAUUCACUUUCUGAUUUCAAAACUGUCUUUUGUGAUGAUAUCAUGAUGAUUUUCUGCAUGAAAUUAAAUGUGCUUUCAAUGUCCUAAUGUGCACUCAGAUAUACAAACCAAGGUUCUUGAAUUCUUUUCAUUCUUGGUGUUUUUCCUUUAUGAAGUUUCCUGUGUAGGGCCUGGAAUGAAAUUCAUUGGCUGUGACAGGCUCUAAUAACAACACCAGCCCUCUUCCAACAGCAACCAGGCUGACGACUGCGGGAGGGACAUAUGUGCCCUCAUGCAGGGAAGAUUUCUUCCUAACCUUCCACUACAAUCAAUACAGAGAAAUAGGCAGGGCUGCUAACAUCAGGCUCCAUUAAGAUGACUCUUUCUACCCUCCUGAUCUUUAGACCCCAAGAGAAGUGCGAAGAAAAAAAGAGAAUAAGAAAGGAUGGAUGAGAGAAAAUAAGAUUGAGGAAAGGGGGCGUGGUAGUUUUUCCCUAAACCAUCAAUUGCCAAGGUUACUUUUGGCAGCGAGAAAAAGAGAAAGGGGCAGAAUGUGCCUGUCUGAAGCUUUUGUACUUCUGCCCAGACUGUGGGGAAAAUGAUGGGAUUAAAUAAAAAUGCCAGCGAUAACAAAAAGGAAAUCUUCCCAAUAGUUUUCCUUGCCUGAAGAAUGAACUGCUUGAAGCUAUGACCUCCCUGCCUGUCUCAAUGAGGUCAAGAAACUGACUGUCACUCCUACAUUUGUGAUUAAUGAUGCUCCCGCUGGUGACGUAUUUCUAACCACAGUCUCUGGAGAGCAGCAAGACUCAGUUGCCUUGUGGUGUGUUGAGUCAUUGCUCUGGCAAAAGAUCUGUUUGCUCCAGCAACAGGCUUAGCUUUCAACAAGGCGUCCUCUUGAUUCUUUGCUGCAACAUCCUAUCAUGAAAGAACAGAGAGCCCAGUACAAAGAAGGACUGCUAAGAAGGAUGAAACAUUAAAUUAAUUUAAAAAAAGCUUUUGUACUGAAUGGCAAAAUGCAGCAUAAUGAAUAAUUAAACAAUUAAUAAUGUAAUCCUCUUAAAAGCACACAGCCACUAUGGGAGAAGAUUAAGUGUUUAACAGUUUCCAGUAUAAUGCAAAUGUAUUAAGCCAGCAACAACAGUGCUG
rnacentral:lncRNA from 10 species